rnacentral:rRNA from 1 species
AGCAUCUAAGCGUGAAGCCGCUCCUGAGAUAAGAUAUCCCACUGCAUAAGCAGGUAAGACCCCUUGAAGACUACAAGGUUGAUAGGUUGCAGGUGUAAGCAUGGUGACAUGUUCAGCUUGGCAAUACUAAUCGGUCGAGGGCUUGACCAA